CUGUGACUAAGUUCUGGCAGAGGGAAUGUGGGAGGAAGGAAUGCAUACCAUUUUCAGGGCUGACCUGUAAAGUCCACACACUCUUUCCUUUUACAGAGAAUUUGGAACCCUGAACAGAGUGACUCUGUGAGAUGCAAGGACCUGGGUUCCAAGAUGACGGUAUGGAGCAGAACCAUCCCCUUCAGCCUGGAUGCAAAGGUUGGUAUUUUGUUUUAGAGAGCUCCUGAGAUGUCUGAGGUCAUCAGUUAUGACUAUUAAUGUUAUUUUCCCUAAAUCACAGGCUAAGUACACACUAAUGUUACUUCUAUGUUAUGUGAAAGUUUUUUUUAAAAAAUGUAUCUAUCUCUUUCAGUACAUUACUUUGGAAACUUCUUAAGAAGAGACACUUUUUCUGACCAAUCUUUGUGUUUGAUACAUACUAAGUGCUCAAUAAAUAUUUGUUGAGUUACAAAAUGUGAGUGCGAUAAUAGUAAUACUAUCAAUUCACAUGUAUUGAGUACUUAUAUGAGAGAAGUUCACUAUCAGGCACUUGCAUUUAUUGCUUUAUAUAAUCCUCAUAAUUCACAAAUGUUACCUAAGUGCUUGCUAUGUGUUGGCUUCUGAGAAGAUGCGCUUGGAAUACGUUAGGGAACAAAACAGAUCAAAGUCCCUUUCCUUUUAGAGCACCAAUUGUUGGUGGAGAAAUCAGAUAAAGAAGAAAAAAAUAGAAUAUCAGAAGUUGAAAUGUACUUGAAGAAAUAUGAAUAUGGAUGAGAGGUAUUUAGUUGAGCAGGUUGCUAACUAAACAGGAGGUCACAGAAGACCUCAUAGAAAAGGAACAGUAAGUGUGAAAGCCUGAAUGGGGCACGUUUCCCCCAAGAACUCCAGGAGGCAGACGUGACCUUCAUUUUGCAGAGAAGGAAAUGAAACCCAGAAAAUUAACCUGUAACUUGUCUAAGAGUGUAAAGCGAACAAGCAACACGUUACGGACUUGGAAUAUCUUGACUUGAAAAACUCCUGCUCAUUGAGAGGUUCAUGUUAAAUGAAAUAAGCAAGACUCUGAAAAGUGAAGCGUUAUAUGUUUCCUCUCAUAUGUGGGAGUCAGAAAAAGGGAACAAGGGGAAUCUCAUAAAAAUCUAAGGGAGAUCAGAAGGCAGAGGAAAGUCAUCGCAGGAGGCAGGAGGGGAUAACUACGGGAGAUCCUGGGGAGUGAAAUUAAUCAGAUUAUAUUAUGUGGAGGAGUGCAUAUGUUACAAUGAAUCUCACUGUCAUGGACCAAUAAAGAUUGUAAAAACCAGUACUAGCAUUCAGAAUCUUUUCCAAGUAUAUUGAUUUAUUUAUCCUCAGAGUUCUGUUCUUCCAUCCUUGGUAUUUUAUUCUUAGCAAAAUAUCCAGAUUUUUGCUGCUAUAAGUUAGCAAAUUAUUUUUUAUUUCUAUGUUGAUUUAACCCCUUUUCUCUUAGGUUUUACUAUGUAGUUGGCUCUCUACAGCAGGUUGGAAAAGUGCUUUCAAAGAAAAUUAAGUUGUUGUUGCCAUUUUAUCAAGAAAGAAACCCUACAUUUGAAAGGCCUCUGGGUGACAUUUGGUUGCCCUGUUCAGUCUCAACAAUUGAAUAAAACUACUGUCUCUGAGUGGGCUCUUGAGCAAACAAGGGGUCUUUAGCUUGUCUAGGCUACUGUGCAGCCGGCUCUGUUCUCAGCUUUUAUAAUCUAGCAUAUUGAAAAGACCCAGGAGUGCAGUGGCUAUUCAGGAUGUUGUGCAAAGUCUGCAGCAAGCUUUGAGAGGAGACCCUAUAGUUUUGAAGCAAAACCGUGCCCUCUUAAAAUAACUGUCUUUAUUUUGUUUAAAAAAAAAAAAGAAAGCUAUUGGCUAGAAUUGGGUUGUCAUGAUCACUGAAUACUUCACCAUGAUUCACCAGAGAUCUGACUAGCUCAUUUCAAACUGGAAGUUUCUUAUCUAAAAACCAAAAAGUCACACAUGCUCAAGAUCAUUCCUUCCUUACGUGGACACAAUGGGCAGGGUUCUGACAUGACCUGAAAGCAACAGUAAAUUGAAUAAACAAUGACUGGCUCAUAUUGUGCUGCUCUCUAACCCCACAACCAUGGCUUGGUGGUAAAUUUCCCAUGACCAGUUGACAGAGGGAAAAAUGUCUAUCCUGGUUAGAUGUGCCAGGAUCAGCUGGAGGUCACCAUGCAGCUCUGUGGCCUCAUGCAAGGAGUCCCUGGAGGACUGUGGGGAUGAGGGAUGAGUCAAUAAACCCUGGGGGAGGAAAGGAACAAAGAGAGGAGACCCCCACUCUUGCAGCAGAAGUGAGAGUUGCCUCAGGGGUCGAAUCAGGGAGUGACAAAGGAGGUGGCAUUCUGGGCAUAGAGAUUUUAACUUUUUAUUGUGGAAAAUUAAAAACACAAAAAGAAUCGAAGAGUCUAAGCAGGAAUAAUAAUAGUAUAAACCCCACUUCCUCCCCCACACAAGGAACCCAUCACUCAGCUUCAAAGAUGGAGCACGCAUGAGGGGUCCGAUAUCCCUGCCCUCUUCUCCCCACCCUCCCCCAUCGAUUCCUUCAAGUCAAAUCUAUCAUUUAAUCCUCUUCUUUAGUGUGCAUUGAAUGCUAACACCUUUCAUUCAGUACUUCAACAUAAGCUCUAAAAACGAGUGCCUUUUUGUUUUUAUAAGAAUAUAACCAUACUAUCACUUCUAUCCAAAACACAUGAAUUUCUUAGUAUUAGCAUCCAAUUUUCUCUUAAUAUUUCAUAUGUGGUUUUUUGUUUUUUUCCCUUUCUUCCCUGGAUUCGUUUGAAUCAGGUUCCAAACAGGGCCUGCUCAUUCUUUCUGGUUGAUAGGUCUCGAGUACUAUUUAAUUUAUGUCUUUCUCCCUUUUCUCUUUAUCUUGCUCUUCUUUUUCUCCUGUUCUCUCUUUUCUUCCUCCCUCCCUCCCUUCCCAUUUAUUAGUGAGGAAACCAGGUCAUUGGUCCUGUAGAAUUUUCCCACAGUUUGCAUUUUGUUGGUUGCAAUCCCCUGAUGCUAUUCUAACCCAUUCCUUUGUUUCAUGUAUUUCCUAUAAACUAGUAAUUAGGUCUAAAGACUUGAUGGGAUUCAGUUUUCUUUUUUUUUUUGGUGCUGGGGAUCCAACCCAGGUCCUUGUGCAUGAGACAUGAGAGGCCAGCCCUCUACCAACUGAGCUACAUCCCCAACCCUGGGAUUCAGUUUUGAUAUUUGGGGCAUCAGUACUCCAUAGGUGGUACCGUACUGUAUUUUUCCACCAGAAGCCACUUGUUGUUUGGCUGUGGUUUUUCUCUUUCAUGUUAACCAGUAGGGGCAGCAUGAAACAUCAUGAGAGAUAGUGAUUUCCUAUUUCUUUCAUCGUUUUCUUAUUUUUUGGAAGAAUUAUUCUCUCAGUAACUAUUUGAUAACUCAAAGACAAUACUCUUACAAGAAAGACAGCCCUAUUUUCACUUGAGGAGGACAGGGUGUUUAGAGACUAUAACCUUUGCAAGGAGUGCUUAUCGCUGUUUAACUGAUGAUUAUGUCUUUUCAGUGGAUGAACCUAGAAGUGCACAUUUUUUUAAAAUGUGGAGUUUAUCAUGAAUUUAUACUGAUAUUUCAAAUUCAAAUUUAGGUUUGCAAAAUUGCUUUUUAAUUUUCUAUUAUAUCUCUUUUUCUCUAAUAUUAUAAGGUUGUGUUCCAAGUGAUAGUAACAUAAAUCCCUUUUGCUUUGGGAAGUUUAGCCUAAAGCCUGCUUCUUUAGCUCUCCUGAAGAUUUUGUAAGUGUUUAAAAUCUUGGGAAAAAAAAUCCUUUCUCCAUAAACCAUUUGAAGUGGAUCUUUUCAUCUUCACCUGAAUCCUGACAGAGCAAACUGCAGGCAGGUGGGGAGGGGCUGUUCAGGUCUCUGUAGUACAACUGCUCACAGCUACACCAAAGGAUGUCAAGGGUUCUCCGCUGAAGGAAUCACAAAGGUAUUAAAAGGAGAACCACAUUGCUCAGUCUUUUCUAUCUUUGUACAAGUCCUAAUUCACUAAAAAGUAUGUUUCUAUUUUUCAAAAGCAUUCUUUCUCUCUCUCUCUCCUUAUUCUCCUGCCCUAAAUCAGAUUCUGGAGAACACAUUAGAUCCGGCCCAGAGCAAGUGAACAGAGUCUUCUUCUAGCUCUGGACAAGAACCCAGUCAUUUUAGCAAAGGCUGCCAGAGGUCAUCCCAUCACUGCUUCAGGGUGGAUAAUGAGGCGUCUUGGGGGUGAGUGCAUACGGUGUAAGUGUCAGAAAGCUGCAUCUGUUGCUUGCUCCGAGGGCCUGGAGGGUCAAGUCACAUGAGUACGAUAUUUUCAUAAUAUUCUUCUGCAUCUUCGUCAUCGGAGCCGACUUUUCCAUCUGAGUCAACUGGCAGCUGUGUCUUCACCUCAGAGUAGACUAUCAAGGCAUGCUGGGACAGAAAGAAGACAGCGGAGGAACUUGAAAGGGUGAGAAGGAAAGGGCUGGAGGUGGUGGUGACAGAGGGAAAUGAGGCUCACCUUGUCCUCUGGAGGCAUCCAGGGGGUGUUACCUGUGGAGGACAAGGGAACCAUAAGAAUUCACUUAGAGCCCAGUCUGCCAACGUAUUUCCUAGAUCGGGGGCGGGGGGGGUCACUGGGCCCUCUCCAUCAAUGUCGUGUUUUCCCCACCCCAACAUAUCUUUUGAUUUUCUAUUUUACCUUUUUCUUUCUUUCUUUUCUUAUUGGCUCAUAUCCUAUUAGUUAUGCAUAGCAUUAGGUGUUUUACCAUUUCUUUUUUUAAUUUACCAUUUCUCAACUAAGCCCUCUGCAAGUUCUUCUCAAGCUUCAUUGAUCUGUAAAACUCUCCCUCAUCACAUGAAGAAACUUCACUUCUUCUUCUACCAGAUGUUGAGAGAAUAUUUUUCUCCUUGUUUAAUUCGUUGUACUUUUAAUUUAGAGUACAUCCACCACACUGUCCUGGAUGGUUUGGCAAGUUCUCAUAAAACUCUCUAUAUGUGUUGCCCGGUGAGGAAAACUCUCACGUUAUCAUGUUCUAGUUCUUGAUUUUAUUGCUAUAUUUUUUUUAGAGGUGGAGUCACAGAGAAAGAAAGUUUAGCAGAUGUGAUUUCUUGGUUCACGAAUAUUGGAAUUUAAGAGUCUCAGGGGAAAAAAAGUAGAAUCGUUAAAGCACCAUAAUAAUUUUAUGGAGAACUAGAACAUGAAAAGGAGAUAUAUCUUGGGGCACCUGAAGUUUCUGUUUCACCAUGUUCCUACCCAUACACUUUUGGAAUUACAGACAUUGUUAGUGAAGUGAUAAAAAGUGUCCAUUCCUCCUGCAAAUGGACAGAGCUUUGCUUAUGAUCUCAGGGCCUUUAUGAAAACCUGAAGGAACAAGUGAAAAGGGUUUUCUACAGCUCAUUAAUACAUCAAGUGCCUGAAAUAUAACCAAUCCAUUAACAAAAAUGGUGUUUGGGCCAAUGUGUUAAGGAUACAGUGGAAAGAUGAUAGAGGAAAAACUGUAUAAGAUAGAUGCACUCAACCAACCCAAACAAAUGAUUAGUGGUUCUGAUUCUACUAUUCAGCGGGUCCUGGCCAAUGGCUGGCUCAGGGAGCAAAGAGACAAAGCAGAUGAUCAGGUGAUACAUUAUUGGUCAAGCAGGAAUCGGUUGUACAAGCAGCAAAUAUUAAAUAAAGACAGAAGACUUUGUCUUAGCUUUGUGUUUUACAGGCUUUGUGACCUUGGGAAAGGACUUAACCACUACUUCAUUUGCAAAACAGGCUCAGUGUUAGAUUAUGAAUGAAAUUCCCACAAGGCACAGAGAUACUAGAGGUUUACAUUCUCAGAUGAGAUGCCAUAUUUAGAUUUAUUAAAAAAUAAUAGUUUGUUUCUUUGACUCUAAGAGUCUGGGUUAAUCAAUCAAAUUAAGGAAAUAUGGAGAGAGAUUUAAAAAAAAAAGAUUUGUUGAACAGAUUUCUUUAGAAGGAGAGAUCGGUUUCUGUGCAAUGAGUUUCUACCCAGAAGUUUUAUUGGGAGUGUGUGCAUGCGUGUGUGCGUGCGUGUGUGUGUGUGUGUGUGUGUGUGUGUGUUUAGGGAAUGGGGAAAUGAUGCUUUAUAAGCCCCCAGCGUGGUGAAGGAGCCUUCAGAGAUUCAUCUUAGAAACUGAAAAGUGAUUUCCCUGAUUUGGAAAAUAAAUAGCAUAUACCAAAAAAAAAAACAACAACCAAAAAACCCCAAAGUGGACUACAGGUUACAACUGACCACAGUAAUGUCUAACAGCAGGUCUCCUCUCAUUUGAGGGCCUUGAAAUGGGAUCUGAAUGAGAUUCAAGGAAAUGAAGAAGGACUGCUCAUUCUGGCCAAAAGGUACUAAAAGGACUGGAUUUACCUUUCCAUUUUCAACCACCAGAAAACAAACAAACAGAUAAUGCAAAGUUUUUCAGGCAUUUGACAACAGGCAGUCCAGGACUGACCGGGAGCCCUAAAAGAAAGCCAGUAGACAGCGGAGCCUUGCAGUUGCACAGUCUUGCCACCUGGGGGCAGCUUCUACACCGCAGCACAGGUUGGAGAGUCCUAAUAGAGGCUGGUCUGCUCUCUCUGAUUUCAAGUGACAGAGACCAACAGUCCUGUUAAACUUAGUAGCUAGAAUUUCUAGGACAGAGUACUAGAGAGACAACAGCAAGGCAGAUCAAAAGCUCCAGAGAUCUCCAGACAGGUAUGUAGCCUCAAGUCUUUGGCUGAAUAUUAAUACCACAUAUGAGAGAGGAAACUAUCUUGGGUCAGGUAAGAACCAUCGGAAAGGAACGGGCAAAAUAACCCCAGAUGCUCGUGCAGAUCUCGUGAUAGAUGGGGCAACUGGUGUAGAAUCCUCAGAAAUGUUGCUUUACUAUUAGGGCUAGAUUAGCCUUCCUCUAAAGGUUGCUUGGGACCUGCCAUAAUGAAGCUUAAAAGCAAGCCUUGAGACCGCAUGAUCAAUGUGAUUCUGCAACCUGUGCACUCAGAAAAAUGAGAAAUUAUACCCCAUCUGAGUCAAAUGUAUGAUAUGUCAAGAUCAUUGUACUGUCAUGUGUAACUAAUUAAAACAAUUAAAAAAAAAAAGCAAGCCUUGAAAGGAUCCAGUUGGUACCAAGUAACUUAACUUCAUCCAGAACAAAAUUCCAAGUUCAAUAGUAAAUUAAGGAAUAUUAAAUGGUAAAAUUCACAUUUUCAGCAUCCUAUAAAAAAAUUACCUUCUAUCUAUCAUCAUCUAUGGAGGGGGGAGGGAGGGAGGAAGGGAGGGAGGGAGGAAGGGAGAGAGGGAGAGAGGGAGAGAGAGAGAGAGGGAGAGAAAGAGAGAGAGAGAGAGAGAGAGAGAGAGAGAGAGAGAGAGACUGACUCCUACUUACAAUCAUUUGACCUUACAAUUGUGCAAAAACUGUAGGAGAAACCAUACUUCAGAUUUAAAAUUUUUACCUUUUCCUGGGCUAGUGCUGGGUGGUAUGAUACUCUCUUGUCAGCACUGGGAAUUGAACCCAGAGCCUUAUGCAUGCUAGGCAAACACUCUUCCACUGAGCCAAGACAGUAUCACAGGAUGGUAAACAAUGGGUACUUUAUGGUGCACCAUAGAAUGAUUGCUAAACUUGAGGUUUGGUAGGGUAAUAUUAAAUAGACUUUCAACUUAAAAUAUUCUCUAUUUAUGACAGGCUUAUUGGGACAUAACUCCAUUGUAAAUUUGUAUCCAAUAUUUUAUAUAUAAAUGUUCUCAACAUAAUACCUAUCAUAGUAGUAUGUAUGUUGCAAAUAUUCAUUCAUUCAGACCUAUAGGCAACCUUAGUACACAAACCAUCAAGAUCACAAUAUUUAUCAGAAGGAUGCUUAAUUUUUGUUCUGAUCAUCAGCAAAGAUGAUGUAUUUUUAAAUUUUUUUUUCAGUUGUCCAUGGACCUUUGUUUUAUUUAUUCAUUUUUAUGUGGUGCUGAGAAUCGAACCCAGUACCUCACAGAUGCUAGGCAAGUGCUCUGCCACUGAGCCACAACCUCAUCUAUAGUAUGUAUUUUUUCAUGUCUAUCUUCCGUCUUUAGAAUCUAAGCUCCACACUGUGGGGAAUUGUUUGCUGAGUGACUUUCCACACUUAUAAUAGCACCUAGCACAUGGGAGAUACUCAAUAAAUAUUUGCUGAAUGAAUGAGUAUAGUUUGUAGCUAUAAUCGUUCCAAAACAUACCUUCUCCUUCUUCUCCCAGGUCAAUAGUCUGGAUCUCAGCAUAUACCAAAUCUCCUUCUUUGGGGUGCAUUGGAAAGAAAAGACGACAUUACCAGUCUGUCUCUGUCUGUUAUGUUCUGCAGAUGCCUCUUCCCAAGCAUUCCCUCCACUCUCUUUAGACACACAUGAAGUGAUUAUUCUUUGGGAAUAUCUGACUCCAGAGUACUGUAGGGAGAUGGGUGGCAUUUCCCAGGGGGCUCAAAGCGAUUUAUCUUUCCCUGGUGGAGUCUUAGGAGCAGUUUCUUAUAGGGGAAACCUCACCAUUGUCACAGGAGAUGUGUGGUUCCACCUGGGCAGAGCAGAUGUAAUGAAAGGACUGUCCCAGGCUGGGGGUGUGAGGACUCCUAUGAGACAGAAAUACAUGAAAACCCUUGGAGCAUUCCAACAUGCCUGAGGGUGAGAUGUUUAGGCAGAGGUGGUGGGAAAAGUGGGUUGGAGGGAAAUCAGCAGUCCGUAGGGAACUGGGAACCCUGAAGAGUUUAAUUGAAACUUCAGUGGGUCCAUAUUAAGUUGGAUUGUUGUUUUGAAAGAAACUGGGGAGCUUUGGUAUGGAAGGCUACCUUGGGACAAGACCAAAGUCUUUGACAUCACAGUAACAAUCAUUGUCUCAUCGACAGGAUGGAUUAAAAACUGGUCUUCUCCUCAGGAAGUAGUGGCCAAAUGUCUUCACAUUGUUAUGUUGGGAAAUUUAAGAAGGAAUUGACAUGAUACACGCUCCAGUUCCUGGGUACAACCUAAGACUGAGAUACUGACAGAAGAGGACCAUAUUUCCCAAACUGAAAUUAAGAACACCGUCUAAUUAAUAUAUUUGUAUGUCUUGGAGAAAAAUAAGAUUAAUAAAAGCAUAUACCUCCAGAAAAUCUAGAACAUUUAUAAAAAAUCUAGAAUCUAACCCUUGGACAUAUAUUUAAUAACGUAUGGUCUAACUCUGGAGCUAUUGGUACAGAAGUAUUUUGUACCCACCCAAGAAAAUCUAUAACCUUUGGUAUCAUCCUUUUAAAUGAAGGUGCCAAUUUCA
rnacentral:lncRNA from 1 species